rnacentral:lncRNA from 1 species
UUAAUAGUUACCGUACAAUUCAAUCCUUCUACCAUACAAUGUCCCAAUUAAAUAUAAGACAUAGAAUUACUGUCAAGUCUUAUUUUAUUUAAUUAUAUGUAUUUCGAUUCCUAAAUGCACAACUCCUAAUGAAUGAAAAUUAGAAACUACUUUCUAAUUUCAUUCCACAUUGGCCAAGGAUUCUUGGGUUGUCAUUUAUCGAAUCACAUAGGAUAUUUCUCUUCUUUAACUAGAAGUGGUAGAUUCUUUAUUGAUCAUUCACUAUCUUCAUAUAUAACUUAUUACACCCAAGCAUAGCCUUUGAUAUACUCUAAGAGUUUUAAGGAAUAAGUCAAAGUGUAAUUCAGUAUAUAUAAGAUACUAUGAUGAUCUCAAGUCUA